GCAAAAAGUUGGUUGGUGUAGAGUGGAGUUGGUUGGUUUGUUGGUCUCCCGAAUUUCAGCUUCGGGCAUUGAUUGGUUACCAGUGGAUUUUCUUUUGGUGAGACGAGAAUUGAAAAAUGCCGCGAUUCUGAGAGGAAGUUUGCUGGCAAAUGAUGUCGUGGAGGCGUAGUCGGAAAAUCAGGGAAUUAGUUUGAUUGAGUGUGCGACAUCAAUAGAAUAUCGCAUUUUUAGCCUCCAAGAGGCCGGAGUGUGUACAAAACAUUCACGCAUGGGUAUAGACACGUUAGUUUUGUACUAAUGACACGGGAGGGAUCGAAGAGGACUCCCCAUACAUUCCCGAACGUGUCGACCGAGCACUUUGAUGGAGCUUCAGUCUUUGCGGGCGGAACUUCACGGUCAAUUUGGCCAACUUUUUAGGUUGCUGUGAUAGCUCUUCCCUCUAAGUCAUCUUCGGCCAUAUAGGAUAGUCGUUUGAUCAUCCUAUGUCCCUUAGGUUCAUUACAAUCUGUUGAGUGCCAAAUAAGUGCGGAAAUGUUAUAUGUACGUAUAUGUAUAGAUCCAACAUGCCACCCUCGAAUUUUCUCCUAUUCUGUCAUAAUAUUUCCUUCACUUGACUAUCCACCAAGAAAAUUUCUUCAUUGCAUGUAAUGAUUGUGUAUCUUUUAUAUUGUAAGAAAACGCGAUGAGCUGAAUAAUAAGUAAA